rnacentral:rRNA from 1 species
AUAACGGUCCUAAGGUAGCGAAAUUCCUUGUCAGGUAAGUUCUGACCCGCACGAAAGGCGUAACGAUUUGGGCGCUGUCUCAGCUGUAGACUCGGUGAAGUCUUAGUACCUGUGAAGAUGCAGGUUACCCGCGACUAGACGGAAAGACCCCAUGGAGCUUUACUGCAGCUUGAUAUUGGACUUUGAUGCAAGAUGUACAGGAUAGGUAGGAGACUGAGAGACAUGCACGCCAGUGUGUGAGGAGUCGAUGUUGGGAUACUACUCUUCUUGUAUUGGAGUUCUAACCGGAUGCCAUGGAACUGGCAACGGGACAGUGUCAGGCGGGCAGUUUGACUGGGGCGGUCGCCUCCCAAAGAGUAACGGAGGCGCCCAAAGAUACCCUCAGCUUGGAUGGAAAUCAAGCGCAGAGUGCAAAGGCAUAAGGGUGUUUGACUGCGAGACCAACAAGUCGAGCAGGGACGAAAGUCGGGCUUAGUGAUCCGGCGGUGCUGAAUGGAAAGGCCGUCGCUCAACGGAUAAAAGCUACCCUGGGGAUAACAGGCUGAUCUCCCCCAAGAGUUCACAUCGACGGGGAGGUUUGGCACCUCGAUGUCGGCUCAUCGCAUCCUGGAGCUGAAGUCGGUUCCAAGGGUUGGGCUGUUCGCCCAUUAAAGCGGUACGCGAGCUGGGUUCAGAACGUCGUGAGACAGUUCGGUCCCUAUCUGUCGUGGGCGCAGGAAGUUUGAGAAGAUCUGUCCUCAGUACGAGAGGACCGGGAUGGACAUAUCAAUGGUGCACCAGUUGUCACGCCAGUGGCACAGCUGGGUAGCUAAAUAUGGAAGGGAUAAACGCUGAAGGCAUCUAAGUGUGAAACCCGCUUCAAGAUGAGACUUCCCAUUACGAAAGUAGGUAAGACCCCUUAAAGACGAUAAGGUUGAUAGGUCAGGAGUGUAAGCAUGGCGACAUGUUAAGCGGACUGAUACUAAUAGGUCGAGGACUUAACCUA